CAGUCGCCGCGGUAUACGUAGGUGGCAAGCGUUGUCCGGAAUUAUUGGGCGUAAAGGGCUCGCAGGCGGUUUCUUAAGACUGAUGUGAAAGCCCCCGGCUCAACCGGGGAGGGUCAUUGGAAACUGGGAAACUUGAGUGCAGAAGAGGAGAGUGGAAUUCCACGUGUAGCGGUGAAAUGCGUAGAGAUGUGGAGGAACACCAGUUGCGAAGGCGACUCUCUGGUCUGUAACUGACGCUGAGGAGCGAAAGCGUGGGGAGCGAACAGGAUUAGAUACCCCGUGUAGUCCCUGUCUCUUAUAC
rnacentral:rRNA from 1 species